ACUUUCAGAUCUGUGCUGAAAUAGAGCUAUUCUUCUAGAUCUAUCCAAUCAGCAUAAAGCGCUUAUUCUUAGCUAACUUCGGCAGAACACAGCCAAUGGCUGUAGAAAAGAAAAGUUCGCGAAUCCCUAGUUUUCUUUCCCGCAGCCAAUCAACGCGCUCAAGAGAUUUGUCGCACGACAGGUGUACCGGUUUCCUUACUAGGUGUAUAAGUGCAUCAAUGGCCGAGCAAUCGACAAGUGUCCUAUGCACGGUCGGCAAAACGUCGCAAGGCCGGCUCUCCUAACCUCUUCGAAGACUCGCUUCGCCGUAUGCGCGGGGCAGCCUCGUGAACCGCGGUCCAAGAUCGAGACAUGACGAACGUGCACACGGUGAACAGUAUGAUCAGCAACAGGAACCGCGAUUGUCUCGAGUGCAGACUGUUGAGCGGUGGCGGCCUCGUCGCCGCAGGUUUGUACGUCUGCCAUCACUCGAAACAGUACCAGAAGCAAGCAGGGAAGGCAGCGAUGUACUCGGUCGCCUCUGUACUCGUUCUCCUCGGCACAGCCAGGAUCUUCGACCUGCCGCCCUUUCAAGACAAAUUUAAGCGCAGCUGAGGAACAGCGCGCUUAGACCCCAAGUGUAAAUCCAUGGCGCGUUGCACGUAAUAAUUGCACAUAAGAAACAACGUUAAAAAUUGGAGGAGAAAUCUUUCCGGCCGCGCAAAGUAAUAGGCUUCAUUUGCUGACGCUCUGACGCCGCUAUUUUAUUUAAAAAAAAAUUGGAAAAAAAUUGUGAGUACAUUUCAAAAUAUGUACAAUAAGGCCUUAAUACAGAUUUUAUAUUCCAUUCAUUAUAGUCUCAUAAAACCUUCGACGAUAAAAUCCCGUGUGGAAAUCUCCCCAUCUUAUCCCCACUUAUUAUU